rnacentral:rRNA from 1 species
AGAGUUUGAUCCUGGCUCAGGACGAACGCUGGCGGCGUGCUUAACACAUGCAAGUCGAACGAAAAGAGGGAAAGAGCUUGCUCUUUCCGGAAUUGAGUGGCAAACGGGUGAGUAACACGUAAACAACCUGCCUUCAGGAUGGGGACAACAGACGGAAACGACUGCUAAUACCGAAUAAGUUCCAAGAGCCGCAUGGCCCAUGGAAGAAAAGGUGGCCUCUACCUGUAAGCUAUCGCCUGAAGAGGGGUUUGCGUCUGAUUAGCUGGUUGGAGGGGUAACGGCCCACCAAGGCGACGAUCAGUAGCCGGUCUGAGAGGAUGAACGGCCACACUGGAACUGAGACACGGUCCAGACUCCUACGGGAGGCAGCAGUGGGGAAUCUUCCGCAAUGGGCGAAAGCCUGACGGAGCAACGCCGCGUGAGUGAUGACGGCCUUCGGGUUGUAAAACUCUGUGAUCCGGGACGAAAAGGCAGAGUGCGAAGAACAAACUGCAUUGACGGUACCGGAAAAGCAAGCCACGGCUAACUACGUGCCAGCAGCCGCGGUAAUACGUAGGUGGCAAGCGUUGUCCGGAAUUAUUGGGCGUAAAGCGCGCGCAGGCGGCUUCCCAAGUCCCUCUUAAAAGUGCGGGGCUUAACCCCGUGAUGGGAAGGAAACUGGGAAGCUGGAGUAUCGGAGAGGAAAGUGGAAUUCCUAGUGUAGCGGUGAAAUGCGUAGAGAUUAGGAAGAACACCGGUGGCGAAGGCGACUUUCUGGACGAAAACUGACGCUGAGGCGCGAAAGCGUGGGGAGCAAACAGGAUUAGAUACCCUGGUAGUCCACGC